rnacentral:rRNA from 1 species
UACGGGGGGGGCAAGCGUUGUUCGGAAUUACUGGGCGUAAAGGGCUCGUAGGCGGCCAACUAAGUCCGACGUGAAAUCCCAAGGCUUAACCUUGGAACUGCGUCGGAUACUGGAUGGCUUGAAUUCGGGAGAGGGAUGCAGAAUUCCAGGUGUAGCGGUGAAAUGCGUAGAUAUCUGGAGAAAUACAGGUGGCGAAGGCGGCAUCCUGGACCGACAUUGACGCUGAGGAGCGAAAGGUAGGGGAGCAAACGGG